AUGAAUGUCUUCGGAUUGUAAACUGCUUUUCUCUGUGACGAAUAUGACGGUAGCAGAGGAAUAAGGACCUGCUAACUACGUGC
rnacentral:rRNA from 1 species